CCUACGGGGGGCAGCAGUGGGGAAUAUUGGACAAUGGGCGCAAGCCUGAUCCAGCCAUGCCGCGUGGAUGAUGAAGGCCCUAGGGUUGUAAAGUCCUUUCGACGGGGAAGCGGUACCCGUAGAAGAAGCCCCGGCUAACUUCGUGCCAGCAGCCGCGGUAAUACGAAGGGGGCUAGCGUUGCUCGGAAUCACUGGGCGUAAAGCGCACGUAGGCGGACUCUUAAGUCAGGGGUGAAAUCCUGGAGCUCAACUCCAGAACUGCCCUUGAUACUGAGAGCCUUGAGUUCGGGAGAGGUGAGUGGAACUGCGAGUGUAGAGGUGAAAUUCGUAGAUAUUCGCAAGAACACCAGUGGCGAAGGCGGCUCACUGGCCCGUCUGACGCUGAGGUGCGAAAGCGUGGGGAGCAAACAGGAUUAGAUACCCUUGUAGUC
rnacentral:rRNA from 1 species